AGUCUUGUUCCCCACCAUCUUCUCCUUCUCCAUCCUCUCCUCUUUCUGCAUCCUCGUGUCCUUCACCUGCAACAUCAUCUCCUCCACUGAAACAGUCCCUUCCAUCUUCUCCACCAAGAGCUGGGCCAUCAACGAAAACAACGGCACAACAACCUGCUCAGACCAAAGGGAACCUCAGGAGGAAGGUGUCAAGAAAAAGAAGAGGAAGCCAAAAAAUGAGGAGCCUGCCGAGAAAAGG